AGAGUUUGAUCAUGGCUCAGGGUUAACGCUGGCGGCGUGCCUAACACAUGCAAGUCGAACGGUUCUAAGCGCGAGCUUAGGAUAGUGGCGAACGGGUGAGUAAAAGGUAGGAAUCUACCCCUUGGACGGAGAUAGCUACUGGAAACGGUAGGUAAACUUCGAUAAGCCCGAGAGGGGAAAGUGGUGAGACAGCCGAGGGAUGAGCCUACUCUCCAUCAGGUAGUUGGUGAGAUAAAAGCUUACCAAGCCGAUGACGGAUAACCGGUGUGAGAGCAUGAACGGUCACAAGGGCACUGANAGACGGGCCCUACUCCUACGGGAGGCAGCAGUGGGGAAUCUUGGACAAUGGGCGAAAGCCUGAUCCAGCGACGCCGCGUGGAGGAAGAAGUCCUUCGGGAUGUAAACUUCUGAACUAGCCGAAUAAAAGGCCUGUGGACACACAGGAGAAGAAAGUANGCUAGGAAAAGUCCCGGCUAACUACGUGCCAGCAGCCGCGGUAAGACGUAGGGGGCAAGCGUUACCCGGAAUUACUGGGCGUAAAGGGGGCGUAGGCGGUAAAAGAAGUCAUCUGUGAAAACCUAUUGCUCAACGAUAGGCUAGCGGAUGAAACUGAAUUACUUGAGGGCACCAGAGGUAGACGGAAUUACCCGAGUAGGGGUGAAAUCCGCAGAUACGGGUAGGAACGCCGGUGGAGAAGUCGGUCUACUGGGGUGCACCAGACGCUGAGGCCCGAAAGCUAGGGGAGCAAACCGGAUUAGAUACCCGGGUAGUCCUAGCCGUAAACGAUGCUCACUANGUGUAGGGAGUGAUAAACUCUCUGUGCUGAAGCGAACGCGCUAAGUGAGCCGCCUGGGGAGUACGUCCGCAANGAUGAAACUCNAAGGAAUUGACGG
rnacentral:rRNA from 1 species